GAGUUUGAUUCUGGCUCAGGAUGAACGUUGGCGGCGUGCCUGAGAUAUGCAAGUCGAGCGAGCCCUCCGAUUCGGAGGGCAGCGGCGAACGGCUGAGUAAUACGUAGGAACCUGCCCCUAAGUCGAGGAUAGUCCGCCGAAAGGCGGAGUAAUACUCGAUGGUCCCCGCUUAAUUUGGUGGAGUAAAGGAUCUAACCGUCCGCUUAGGGAGGGGCCUGCGGCCUAUCAGGCAGUUGGUAGGGUAACGGCCUACCAAGCCGAUGACGGGUAGCUGGCCUUAUGAGGGUGGUCAGUCAGAGGGGGACUGAGACACGGCCCCCACUCCUACGGGAGGCAGCAAUCAGGAAUCGUCGGCAAUGGGCGAAAGCCUGACCGCGCGACGCCGCAUGCGGGAAGAAGCUCUUCGGAGUGUAAACCGCUGUGGUAGGNNNNNAAGUCCCGCUGUUGGCGGGGUUGACAGUACCCUACUAGAAAGGGGCCGCUAACUGCGUGCCAGAAGCGUCGGUAAUACGUGGGCCCCAAACGUUAUCCGGUGUCAUUGGGCGUAAAGGGUCGUGUAGGC
rnacentral:rRNA from 2 species